UAGGGAUCUGAGAGUUGGUAUGAAUUGCUCAAAGUUUAACAACAAAUUACUGUUGUUUAUGAGACUUGAAUGCUAGGCUACCAACCUCCAAGUCUUCUGCUUUAAGAUGCUUCUGGCAUGUGGAUGUCAUAGAGAGAGCAAAAUUCCUGGGCAAAUCAGACACAACUGGAAUCGUUUGCUGGCUUUCAGUUUGAGUUAAAUUAAUUUCUUGAACUUAAUUCCCUUGUUUAUAAAUCAGGAAUAAUAACUGAACCAUGGUUUCUGGUUAAAUGAUAUAGUAAACCACCAAGUACAUAAUAAGCACCCAUUAAAUGUUAGUUCUUUUCUUCUAGGUUAGCUUUCUAGUCUCAGUCUUUGAUAGUUUAAAAGUCCAACCCAGGAAGCCAGGCAUUGAUUAUUGAAGCCAACACUUUGUGCUCUCCACUAUGUGAAUAUAAAAGAAGCAUAAGAAAUUGACAAGAUGACCCUAAAGUUCAUCUGGAAAUGCAAGGGACCCAGAAUAGCCAAACAAUCUUGAAAAAGAACAAAGUUGGAGGACUCACAUUUCUCGAUUUCAAAACAUAGUAGAAAACUACAGUAAUCAAGACAAUGUGGUAUUGGCAUAAAGGUGAAUAUAUAGCAAUAUAUUCAGUUGCAUAUAAAUAUAUGUGCAAUUCUCAGUGCAAUAGAAUUGAGAGUCCAGAAAUAAACCCUUAUAUUAUAGUCAAUUGAUUCUUGAAAGGGUGCCAAGAUAAUUCACUGGGAAAAGAACAGUUUUUAAACAAAUGGUGCUGGUCAACUGGAUAUCCACAUGCAAAAGAAUGAAGUUGGACCUUGCCUCACAUCAUGUACAAAAAUUAACUCAAAUGGAUCAUAGACCUAAAUAAAAGCUAAAAGAUAAAACUCUUAGAAGAAAAUAGGAGUAAAUCUUUGUAACCGUGGGUUAGGCAAAGCCUUAGAUAUGACACCAAAAGCACAAGUGACAAAAGAAAAAAUGGGUAAAUUGGACUUCGUCAAAAUUAAAAACCUAUGCUCAAAGGAUAAGAUCAAGACAGUGAAAAGACAACCCACAGAAUAGGAGGAAAUAUUUGCAAAUCAUAUGUCUGAUUCAUGGGCUCAUAUCCAGCCUGUAUAAAGAAUACUUAGAGCUCAGCAAUAAAAAGACAACCUAGUUUUAAAAUGGGCAAAGGAUUUGAGUAGACAUUUCUCUGAAGAAGGUAGACAGUUGGCCAAGAAGCAUAUGAAAAAGUGCUCAACAUCAUUAAUCAUUAGGGAAAUGCAAAUCAAAACCCCACUGAGAUAACCAUUUCAUACCCACUAAGAUGGCUAUAACCCAAAAGGCUGACACUACCAAGUGUUGACAAGGAUGUGGCACAACCAAAACUUUCAUAUACUGCUAGUGGGAAUGUAAAACAGUGGAGCUGCUUUGUAAAAUAGCCUGGGAAUUUCUCAAAUGUUAAACAUAGAGUUGCUAUGUGACCCAGCAGUUCCACUCCUAGGUAUAUACCCUAAAGAACGGAAAACAUAUGUCCACACAAAAACUUGUACACCGAUGUUUGUAGCAACAUUAUUCAUCUUUUAGAAUUAGAGAAUAACCAUUUUGCAGCCCCUAAUGAAAUAAAUCAGUCAAAGAUCAUUAAUGCUAAAACCAUUUGGUAAAAAGUAGAUUGGAAGCUAAGUAUCCACAUGGUGCCAAAGUAUCAUCUUGUAGAUUAUUUGCUAGUCAUUAAUGUAGAAAUUUGAUGUUAAAAUGCAGCUAUCUGGUUGUUACCACCUCAACCCAGUAAUCAAAUUUAAUAUUACUAGCAGUGGAAGCGUAUACUGCUGAAGGAAAGGAUUUGAGGGGGAAGAGAUCAGCCAGAGGCUGUAACCUGUGUUAGGAAACCAGUUUAGAGGUUGUUAAUGUGUCUCAAGGAAGAGCUAAGAGUUGAACCACCUGGAAAGCUGCUGUAACAAAGUGUGAUGGUUAGCUAUGGAUCAAGCAAGAGUGAACUGCAAACAACACCAGCUCAUAGGGUGACCAACCAUCGCAGUUUGCCUGAAACUUCCAAUUUUAGCAUUGAAAGUCCCGUAUCCUAGGAAAUUCCUCAGUUGCCUGGUAAACUGGGAAAGUUUGGUCAUCCUACCAGCUCAGUAAAAUUGGCUUUGCCUCUUUUCCCCUGGUCCUCACCUCCUUGCCCUAAUCCUGGAAUUGGGGGUGUGGGGAGGGGAAUAUAUUGAGUAACAAGGAAAAAUGAUAAAAGGGAUGACAUUUCCCUCACCAGUGGUAGCUGCUCCCUGAGCUAAGAAAGGAGGGGGGCUUUAAAUGGAUGUGAGUUUCUUUUGUGGAUGAUAAAAAUGUUCGAAAAUUGAUUAUAGUGAUGGUUGCACAACUCUGAAUAUGCUAAAAAUCAUUGGAUUGUACACUUUAAGUGGGUGAAUUGUAUGUGAUUUAUAUCUCAAUAAAGCUG
rnacentral:lncRNA from 1 species